rnacentral:rRNA from 1 species
CACGUAGGGCGCAAGCGUUGUCCGGAAUUAUUGGGCGUAAAGAGCUCGUAGGCGGUCUGUUACGUCUGCUGUGAAAACCCGGGGCUUAACCCUGGGCUUGCAGUGGAUACGGGUAGACUAGAGGCAGGUAGGGGAGAAUGGAAUUCCCGGUGUAGCGGUGAAAUGCGUAGAUAUACGGAGGAAUACCUGAGGCGAAGGCGGGUUGCUGGGCCAACACUGACGCUGAGGCGCGAAAGCCAGGGGAGCAAACGGG